GUAAAUGCACAUUUUGGGCUUUUGUGUUCAAAACUCUUGCGUUCACGUGUAGCUAUGCAAGUUUAGCAUAUGCAAGGCUCUACAUAUAAAAUGCACUUCAAAUAAACAUGCGUUACAAGUUAGGAUCGAACUUUGACCAACUCGGACUUGGUCAUGACAUAUGGAUGGCGUCCCUUUUAGUUCACUGAAAUACCAACCAUUGAAAACUGAUCAUGGAGGAGAGCUUAAUACGAUUUGUGCCCAGACAGUAUUAUAUGACACCAAGUCUUUCAUAUAUUGGAAUACAGCUGUGAAAGAAAAAAGCUGAGAGCAAGAUUUGAGAGAUUUGCACCGCUUUGACCUUUCACACCAACCCUCUUCCAGAUGUAAGUGGUGGACAUGUGCUAAUAUCGGUUAGCGACAGUUCAGUGUUAACAUCGGAUGCUAAACACGCAUUCAGAACCUAUCCGGUGUCUACGCAGCUUAUCACACUCUCUUUACCGUCCAAAUUUUGCAACUCACCUUUGACUGGUUUGCAAAAGUGUUUUUUCUCCUUUUAUGCUAGAAUGCUGCCUGGUGUCAUAGCAAAAGAGCUGAACCAUCACUUCCUCGGCACAGGUAGAAAUACUCUCAUGUUUCUGCUGUUUCCUUUCAGUCACUGUUUGCUUGUUGUGCUUUCUUUUAAAGUCCUCUUGUCUUUGCCGUGUGUUUUUGUCUUCCUCCACUGCUUGAUACUAUAUAGAAAUGCGUCAUUUGGAAAACCCAUCCUAUACAGUGCUUGCUGUUUGUUUAUUGUUCUCCUUUAUUGAUUAUUUUCUGUGUUUUUUUUGUUCUGUCUACAGAAAGAAGCUGACAGCUACAUUUUUUUUUCUUUCAUUGUUUCUCUUUGUCUUUUUUUUCUUCUUCUUUUUUUCUUCUUCAGACUAUCUUGUUACCUUGUGUUCUUUUUAAUAAUCCAUGGAAUUUUUUACUUCAAAUUCCAUAUGAUCUUUUCCAGUUUUUCCUUUGAUAGCAGUAGAAAACAAUUUAAUUGUAAAAUUAAAGCAAAUUUAUUGUAAUUUUACUUCCCAAUGAGCUCAUAUCGUAAAUAAGUGAGGAAGAAUUAAAAAAAUAAUCAAUAAUAAACACCUAAAACAUGUUUGAGCAGCAAAGAAAGAACCAACAAACACUUUCUCGUCUUGAAGUUGAGCUCUGAGAUUCUUCUUUACUUUAUGUGGUUCUGAAUCAUGAUUUAUUUUCCAGAACAGAACUGUAAUUCUGUGCAUUGUCAUGUGAUAAAAAUCAUUGAUUGUUAUUCCGUUAAGGUUUGUGUUUGUUUCAAGAUCAGACAAAAAUAUACUAAAGUAACCAUUUGGAAAGCUUGCUCAAAAAAUUUCAUAUGGGCCCUUCAAACUGUUCUGCAGUCACUAUGUUGCUGUCACAACACGGCUGAUUAUGUCCAAAAACCACCACAUUGUGAUGUCUAACACUGCAGUCUGCAGAGGUAAAUAUCUGAUCUGACAGUAUCUGGAUUUUUAUCCAUAUUUUCAGCAUGAAAAUGUCUUUUUUUGUUUUCCUUUUCUGUGCUGAAAGCUUCAUAUGAGUUAUUGGGCCCCCGGAGGUAUUUCAUUACAUUAAGAGGGGGGGUCACCUUGAGUUCAGAUUUAGUUGUAGCCUCAGGCUCUUUGAGAGAAAUUAUUAAACUAUGUUUAAUUCCAUCAUACUUUUCUCUCUGAUAAAGAAUUCUGAAAAAGUCAUUUCAGCUGCAUUUUGCAUUACAAAGACAAGGACGGCAUCAGUCACCAUUCAUGAAUAAAGCAACAGAAUCUCCCUGCCUAAUCGAUAGAUAUGACUUGACACAUGAACCUAAAGCUGCCUCUUUUUUUUUUUUUUCUUGCAUGAGCCCUCCCUCCGCUGUGUGACCCACGCCGGCUGAGGAUGCCUCCCACCAGAGAAUCAAUCUCUCUGAACAGAAGAAUGAGGCAACUGAAUUAAAGAUGGUCUUAAGACACACCAUCACUCAUUGUCUUUAAACUGCUUUGCCACCCACAGAGAUUUUCUAACUCAUUCAGUCUCCCUAACAAGACUGAGGAAGAAGAACACACUGAAAACAGUGGAAAGCAGUUCUGGGAAGAUUUUAACCGAAAUGCUGACUUUGGGUUUUUUCACUUUCUGGGUUUUGUUUUUUUCAUCAUGACAGACAGAAGUAGUUUCUUGAAGAGUGGUCGAUGUGCUGCUUUCCGAAGGAGGAACAUAUUCUGGACACAGAUGGACCAAACAGGGCUCAAAGCAGGAUGACGUGGGGGCAGUGAUGCUGGGAUGGAAUCAUGAUGUGAUAGUGAUCUCCUUCUCCAUUGAGGCCAAUACGCUGCAGCGGAUUUUCCUCUCAUCUGGUAAUUCCACUGACGUCUUGGAGAUUUGUUUGCUUCUCUCAGCUGUGUAGAGGCAGUAAAAGGCAUGUCAAGAUGGUGUGUUGACUGUUUGAGUUCCUCAUCAGAUCAGGGAAGAAAAAAUUCUGUCCAAUGUGAUAUUUUGUCAAAUAAAAAAGGCUCUUGAGUGCUUUCUUUUAAAAUUUGGCUGCAUGAGGAGAAAAAAGUACAGCCAGAGCAUGAAAAGUGGUCGAUGGAUUGCAACGAGAUGAGACGGGCACGGAGUGAAUGCCUGUGCUGUAACCCAUGUCGCUGUGGAGAGGAAGUUCCCUGUUUGAACAAAAAAAGACGAGGCGGGGCACAAACCCACAGGAUGGAUCUCUAAGAUUAAAGUGGCCCGAUCACUGCUCUCACAUCACAUCCUCUACCAUCAGGGGGGGAAUUCAUUUACUCGCACAGAGAGAGAUGGAGCAGCCAAGAGCAAAGAGAAGAACUGACUGAGAACGGAGAGCAAAACCUUUCUGGAGACUUUGAAAGAGCUGCACAGUUAAAUUCUCUGAGGAGUUGAGAUGGUUCUUCUCUAAGAUAACAAACAAAAGGGAGACACAAUGUAGUGAACACACAACACUAAACACAGAAAACACUGCCUGCAGUACAACAUAUAUACAAUAACCCAUGUGUGUGUGUGUGUCUUCAAGAAAAAGAAAACAGAUAAAUAAGUUGAGAUUAAAUCAUAUUUUUGUUUCGUUUGGCAUUUCCCUACAAGUAUUGGUUCACAGGUAACAACACUUUCAGGAUAUAAAUUUUUUUGGAGUUUAAAUUGUUCCAGAGUGUAAGGCGAUCUUG